ACAUGUUAAUUAUUGUUUGUUAGUAUGUAACGCACAGGCAAGAGGCGCAUAUUGUAAAGCGAGCGAAGGAGAUGACACGCUCCGACUACCUGCUUACCCACGUGCACUUAUAUAAUGUUCUAGCUAAAAAUAUGAUACCAGCGAUAAACGAAAAAUACGCCAUCGCGACAGUGUCGUUAGUGCAUUGGAGUAGUGACAGUGCAACGUGAGAAGCUUUAUUACAAAAUAAAGACAGAACGAGUCGCUCUACCCGGCUGCAUUCGUAUUUACGCGGGUCAUCCUCCGUCACCCGGAUCGUCGACAUCAUCGGCGCGUCCCCAGGUGGCGUGCCACUUGGAUCGAACUUCGUACCGCCGUUAACAUCGUUAAUUCUCGAACGACCUCCUUCGCUGUUUUUUCCUGCCUCCCCACCGCCCCUUGCACCCAGUAUUCGCUGUAAUCGCUGGGUGUUGAGCAAACAACGUCGGGCGACGUGGUGUGCGUGCGUUGCGUGCAUAAUUUCGUAUUCCGCGUCGAUUCUUAUUCGACUCGCCUCGAUUCCGCACGCGCGCGCGCGCGUGCGCAUCUCGCCACGCGUAUUGCAGUUUGCAGUUUCCGCGGAAUCGAAGAGCAGAAGAGUCGGCCGCAUCGGAGUUAGAUCCGCUCCGGAAGAAUUUCGUGCGGCGAUGAGCGACGUGAAAUAGAGAAAAACACAGACGAAGGGGAAAAAGCGGACGCUGAUUAAUCAGCGAGAUAAACGAAAGAGAGAGAGAGAGAGAGAGAGAGAGAAAGAAAGAGAAAGAGA